rnacentral:rRNA from 1 species
AACGAACGCUGGCGGCGCGCCUAAUACAUGCAAGUCGAGCGAGAAGGUUCCUUCGGGAGCGAGUAAAGCGGCGCACGGGUGAGUAACACGUAGGUAACCUGCCCCCCAGUCUGGAACAACUAGAGGAAACUCUAGCUAAUGCCGGAUGAGACCACGAUCCCUUCGGGGGUUGCGGCCAAAGAUGGCCUCUACUUGCAAGCUAUCGCUGAGGGAUGGGCCUGCGGGCCAUUAGCUUGUUGGUGAGGUAACGGCUCACCAAGGCCGUGAUGGCUAGCUGGUCUGAGAGGAUGACCAGCCACACUGGGACUGAGACACGGCCCAGACUCCUACGGGAGGCAGCAGUGGGGAAUAUUGCGCAAUGGGCGAAAGCCUGACGCAGCGACGCCGCGUGGGUGAUGAAGGCCUCGGUCGUAA